GAUUCACAGGCAGUUUUCUUUCUGCACAACAACACGGCUGAAGGACGGCUUGGUGGAGGCAGACUCCGUUUCCUAAGGGCUUAUCCCAAGUUAGAGUUCAGAGGGAAGGGAAUAGAACGCGACUUGUCCACCAAACAAAAUAUGCGUGUUACUACAGUUGUAUGUAGUGGUCAGGCAAAAAGAAAAUCAGAACUUCCAAAGCUGGAGUGUCAGGUGGUUGUGAACUACUCAACCUGGUUCCUGGGAACCAAACUCAGGUCCUCCGCCAAAGGAGCACAUGCACUUAGCCACUGAGUCAUCUCUGAAGUCCCAGAAACCUCUGAAUGCCCAGGUGACAAGACCAAGGCUGAGAGACUAGGAAAGGGCUAAGAAUCUGAGUCACUGGCUGAGCAAACUACAGGUCAAUGGUGGACCUUCUCAAAAGCAAUACAUAAAUGAUCGAGGAACAAAAGCAUCACAUCAUCAACUUUUGCCCUCCACAACUGCCUACAGAGAAUUGGAGAAUUUCUAUUUACCCAGAAGUAAAUAUUAUGAAGAAAACAUUGGGCUGCUCAAAAGUAGACCUAGGAAAAUGCAGAUGUAGUUUUUGUUAGAAUCAAUUGCACAAUGGACUCUGCAUACUAAUAAGUUGAGAUUUCUUUGAAAUACAGUAUAGAGAUUAAGUUCUUCACAACUCCUCACCUGCCUAGUUGAUCAGCCCAGCCAUUCUUUCCAUUUAUCUUCUGCAAUCAAGAGAAACUCUUCUGGACAAAAAGAUGUCCUCUGCAGAUGGCACCAGUCAAAAGAACCCAGUAAACACCAAACCUUGGUCUGCAGACAUCAGGAUGUCCCCAGAUGUGGUGUCAUUUCCAACUUGAGAGCAAUGGAGCUAUUUUUGAAUGCUGUUAGUGCCAAGACCUACACCUUCGUGACUAGUGUCCUCACAUUAACCCAAAUCGUUAAUCCACUUCUGAGAAGUUCUAGUGGCCCAAAAGUAAACCUACACAGACUAUUACAUUCAUAUUCUUACAUAAGGUGAACCAGAAGUAGACUCUAGUCAAAAGCGAAGAAAGUUAUACAAUGCUUAUUUGGUCCCCUACACAUAAAAGACUUGAAAAUUUGAGGGUUGAGGAAAUUGCCUGUUUUCAUUAUAUUUAUAUAUAAGAACCAAUCAGCAAUAUCUUUAAAAAGAAAGGAGCCGGGCGGUAGUGGAGCACGCCUUUAAUCCCAGCACUUGGGAGGUAGAGGCAGACAGAUUCUGAGUUCGAGGUCAGCCUGGUCUACAAAGUGAGUUCCAGGACAGCCAGGGCUAUACAGAAAAACCCUGUCUCAAAAAAAAAA
rnacentral:lncRNA from 1 species